UUUCCGUAGGUGAACCUGCGGAAGGAUCAUUAUUGAAAUUAUAGGCGAGGGUUGUAGCUGGCCUCUCGGGGCAUGUGCACGCCUGAGCCCUUAAUCCACACACACCUGUGAACCUAUUGUAAGGGCCCGUAAAAAAGGCCUUUACGUCUUAUCAUCAACCCAUCGUAUGUCUCAUAGAAUGUAAAUAUAUGUCCUCGCCUUAAACAGCGUUGAUAAACUUAUACAACUUUCAACAACGGAUCUCUUGGCUCUCGCAUCGAUGAAGAACGCAGCGAAAUGCGAUAAGUAAUGUGAAUUGCAGAUUUUCAGUGAAUCAUCGAAUCUUUGAACGCACCUUGCGCUCCUUGGUAUUCCGAGGAGCAUGCCUGUUUGAGUGUCAUUAAAUUCUCAAACUCCGAUCGAUUUGUUUCGACUUCGGGGCUUGGAUUUGGAGCGUGCUGGCGUCGGUCGGCUCCUCUUAAACGCAUCAGCGGAAUCUAACGUUCCGGACGUCAGUGUGAUAAUCACGUUGCGCUGUCUUUCGGUCCGAAAAGCCCGCUCACAAUGGUCUUCGGACAACUUCAUAUCAAAUUUGACCUCAAAUCCAGGUAGGACUACCCGCUGAACUUAA
rnacentral:rRNA from 1 species